rnacentral:rRNA from 1 species
UACAGAGGGUGCGAGCGUUGUUCGGAAUUACUGGGCGUAAAGCGCGCGCAGGCGGCCUUUUAAGUCUGACGGUGAAAUGCCGGGGCUCAACCCCGUGCCCGCCGGAGAUACUGGGAGGCUGGAGACGAGUAGAGGCAAGCGGAAUUCCGGGUGUAGCGGUGGAAUGCGUAGAGAUCCGGAAGAACACCGGUGGCGAAGGCGGCCUGCUGGGCAGUAGCUGACGCUGAUGCGCGACAGCGUGGGGAGCAAACAGG